rnacentral:sRNA from 1 species
AUCACAGAGGUGGCCGAUUUGUCGGAUCUACCGUACUUCUACGAUACAGUAUCCACGGACAUGGUGCAAUACAGCCCCAUUGGCACAUUUCUGCUGCGUCGAUCGUCUAAAGGAACAGAUACCUAUGCACUGCUAGUCAAAACUCAAUUCGAUUUGGUCGAAAAAUUCCUAAUUGUUGGAUGUCCGUCGAGAGGGUUUAGCCUUGCUGGUAGACCAUUUCCCACUAUUGGACAUGUUCUUACAAGG